rnacentral:tRNA from 1 species
GCCUUCGUAGUGUAGUGAUCAGCACGUUCGACGCGCAUUCGAGAGGUCCGGGGUUCAAGUCCCGGCGAAGGCU